rfam:Gossypium arboreum cultivar AKA8401 contig_50860_1, whole genome shotgun sequence.
CGCUAAAAAUUUCAUCUAUUUGUAUUGCUAAAAAUAUUGUGUGCUUGGCGUAAUAAUCAAACGAUGGCACAUGGCGUGUCACAUGUACAUCAUACUAAUGUACAAAAACUAAAUUUUAACCGUAGGAAUAGAUGAAAUGUUUUAACA